UACGUAGGGGGCUAGCGUUGUCCGGAAUCAUUGGGCGUAAAGCGCGCGUAGGCGGCCCGGUAAGUCCACUGUGAAAGUCAAAGGCUCAACCUUUGAAUGUCAGCGGAUACUGCCAGGCUAGAGUCCGGAAGAGGCGAGUGGAACUCCUGGUGUAGCGGUGGAAUGCGCAGAUAUCAGGAAGAACACCAACGGCGAAGGCAGCUCGCUGGGACGGAACUGACGCUGAGGCGCGAAAGCGUGGGGAGCGAACAGG
rnacentral:rRNA from 1 species